rnacentral:rRNA from 1 species
UUUGAUCAUGGCUCAAAUUGAACGCUGGCGGCUUGCUUUACCCUUGCAAGUCGAGCGGCAGCGCGGGGGCAACUCUGGCGGCAAGCGGCGAACGGGUGAGUAAUGCAUCGAAACGUACUCUAUGGGGGGGGAUAACGCGUCAAAAGAUGUGCUAAUACCGCAUAACCCCUGAGGGGAAAAGUGGGGAACCGCAAGGCCUCACGCCAAAAAACCGGCCAAUGUCCAAUUAGCUAGUUGGUGGGGUAAAGGCCUACCAAGGCAACAAUCGGUAGCUGGUCUGAAAGGAUGAUCACCCACACUGGGACUGAAACACGGCCCAAACUCCUACGGGAGGCAGCAGUGGGGAAUUUUGGACAAUGGGGGCAACCCUGAUCCACCCAUGCCGCGUGAGUGAAAAAGGCCUUCGGGUUGUAAAGCUCUUUCGGUGGAAACAAAAUGGUUGCGGUGAAUAUCCGUGACUGAUGACGGUACUCACAAAAAAAGCACCGGCUAACUACGUG